UGGAGAACUGCUAUCCCUCCUGUUAACCUGUGCCUCUCUGUUUCAUGGAUUUUCUUGGUGCUUCUGAAACACUGAGAAAGACACAGUUAGGGGUGGCUAAGGGGUCAGUCAGGGUCCACCCUGUGAGAAAGGAGACUCUUUGCAUUGCCAUGUUGCCCAGAAGUGAUACGAGGGUCACUCCAGGUCUGGCUGCUCGUGGGAAGUGAUGACUGGGAACCCACCCCCAUCCCCUGCCUGUGAGCUGCUGCUGGAGGUCUCUCCCCCUUGGCUCCCUUUUUCAGUUUUGCAGAUUUAUUUCCCUUCCCCUUCUUGGAUGAAGGUUGCAAGGAUUUCCACAAAAUAUGUUUGGAGGAACCA